rnacentral:rRNA from 1 species
AUUGAACGCUGGCGGCAUGCCUUACACAUGCAAGUCGAACGGUAACAGGCCUUCGGAUGCUGACGAGUGGCGAACGGGUGAGUAAUACAUCGGAACGUGCCCGAUCGUGGGGGAUAACGGAGCGAAAGCUUUGCUAAUACCGCAUACGAUCUACGGAUGAAAGCAGGGGACCGCAAGGCCUUGCGCGGACGGAGCGGCCGAUGGCAGAUUAGGUAGUUGGUGGGAUAAAAGCUUACCAAGCCGACGAUCUGUAGCUGGUCUGAGAGGACGACCAGCCACACUGGGACUGAGACACGGCCCAGACUCCUACGGGAGGCAGCAGUGGGGAAUUUUGGACAAUGGGCGAAAGCCUGAUCCAGCCAUGCCGCGUGCAGGAUGAAGGCCUUCGGGUUGUAAACUGCUUUUGUACGGAACGAAAAGACUCCUUCUAAUACAGGGGGUCCAUGACGGUACCGGAAGAAUAAGCACCGGCUAACUACGUG